GUGACAGAGGCGCAGUUUUGGUGGCACAUGUGUACGUUCAAAAUCGUGCAACAGAAAACUCAGAUUGGACAGAUAGUCUAGCUAGCUGUCUGGAUUUACCCUGCAGAGAUCUGAGGAGCAAUUAACCAUGGUCCUCAGAAAUCUACCGGAGUUUAAAUUUACAACAUGAAGAAAGCAGAAGGUAACGG